CGCCGCGGUUGCUAGCUAACGGCGCGCCGACGACGCCGGCAGCGCUGAGGGGUACGGGCUGCGGGCCUGGUUCCGCGGACCCGAGAGCCCCCGGCCCUGCCUGAGACCCCCGAGACUCGCCGCCCUCGAGGGCACUGGGACCUUCGGCGCAGGCGGAGCCGUAGAAGACCGGCGGCCGCAGCUGCCAAGCACUCUCUGCACAGCAGACCCCCGAAGCUGCCUCUUAGCUCCAACUCUUUCCUGCCUGUUCUUCCUCGAACCUACUCCAAUCAGACUUCCACCCGGCCACUUCUCUGAAGCUCUUUAUUAA
rnacentral:lncRNA from 1 species